AUACGGAGGAUCCGAGCGUUAUCCGGAUUUAUUGGGUUUAAAGGGAGCGUAGGUGGAUUGUUAAGUCAGUUGUGAAAGUUUGCGGCUCAACCGUAAAAUUGCAGUUGAAACUGGCAGUCUUGAGUACAGUAGAGGUGGGCGGAAUUCGUGGUGUAGCGGUGAAAUGCUUAGAUAUCACGAAGAACUCCGAUUGCGAAGGCAGCUCACCGGGCCGGAACUGACACUGAUGCGCGAAAGUGCGGGUAUCAAACAGGAUUAGAUACCCUGGUAGUCCGCACAGUAAACGAUGAAUACUCGCUGUUUGCGAUACACGGUAAGCGGCCAAGCGAAAGCAUUAAGUAUUCCACCUGGGGAGUACGCCGGCAACGGUGAAACUCAAAUGAAUUGACGGGG
rnacentral:rRNA from 1 species